CAGGUGUUCCCGCGGGGCCCGUCCUGAGGGACGCGGAGCCAGGUGUUCCCGCGGGGCCCGUCCUGAGGGACGCCGAGCCAGGUGUUCCCGCGGGGCCCGUCCUGCGGGCCGCCGAGCCAGGUGUUCCCGUGGCGCCCGUCGUGCGGGCCGCCAAGCCAGGUGUUCCCGUGGCGCGCGGGGUCUCGGGUUGCGAACGAGCUUUCACACCAGCUAAAACCUAGCGGCGGCAGUGACUGGGUUUGAUAAACUGUUUAAACUCAAAACUCAAAGUUGAGGCUGAACUUGAGUGCGAUGAGCCUCUCUGUAGUGAGGAAUGACCCUUUCAACCUUGGAUUGUUAAACUGGCACCACAGGGCGCUUCCUGAGAGUCACGGCGGCGUAGUCUCCAGGAGUUUGAGUUCAUAAGCUGCUCUGCUACCUCUUGUGCAAAAAAUGCCGACCCACAGAAAAUUAUUCUGAGUGGCACCUCGGAGAGUCUGGGAAAACCGCGGGGGUUUGUAUUAGAACCUUGCUGGGACUGUUUUUUGAACGUAAUAAUGGGAUUCAACGCUUUUAGUUUUUGUCUGUGAGCACUCCAUAUUGAAACGCCUUGUGGAGAAACCUGAGGUAUGCAGUAUAAGACACAAAAAUUACAAACAAGAGGAAUUAGAAAGGCAGCUGACACCGCAUUAAGGACGCCAGCCGCUCCCAGUCUCCUGUAGUGCAGAGAUGGAGACCAAGCGCGCCCGAGCUCCCGUAGCUCCCACGUCGACAGUGUGGGACGGCCAAGGCGGAGUUAUGCUCCAGCGCUCUUUUGCCUCCUUUUUUCAUGGUGUUCAGAGUAGAGAGCCUGACUUCCGAAAACACUUAAGACUGUGCUUUAAAUGCUUUAUUUUAAAAUGAAUGUAUCCAGUUAUUGGUCUUCACAACGUGUUUUUAUUAGAGAUCACUUCCAACACCAAGCAAAAUUAGGAAGUGAUGAAAUUUCUCUUCCGCCUCUUCCCAGCUCUGCUGGGCACCCUUUGUCCUGCACCCUGUACUGUCUGGGAGUCAGUUAUGUCUUCACAUAAACUUUAAUUAUGGAUCUCAGCCCAUCUAAACAUCUAGAGAAAAAAACUUCAAAAAUUCCUUGCCUAACUGCCAAAUAUCUUAAGGCAGAGUAGUGUGGUUUUUACCAGCAUGUAGGUUGGAGCCAGCCAGAUAUUUUGAAAUUAAAAUGUUUGCCACAUUUCUUCCUUGUGUGCAUUUGAGCAAGUUACAAAUGGCCUUAAACUGCAAAUUGUCUUUGAACCAUUCUAGGGGUUAAUAUACAUGUGUUGGCCUUUACAUGUUUGCUGUUAUCAUUAAAGACUGGUCGCUUGUGCACCCGUGUAGCCUCAACCAAUCAGCAUAUUGCUUAGCACCUGAUUCGUGCUUAGGACACAGGAAUUGCAGGUACAAUUACAAAUCAAUGCAGGGAAGGUAUACAUUGGUUUCGCCUGAAAAGAGGCCCUGGAAACCACACUAACCUUGGUAAGCACCUAGAACACUGCGCCCUGGAUCAAGAAGCUAUUUCCUAACUGCCCCUUCCCACCCUCACUCCCAGGGUGCAGCCUCGCUGGACAACUGGUCAUCAGGAGACAACAUGCAAAGUGCUUGGCAGGGAUCAGAAAAGCCAGGGGUUGGCAGUGAGAAGAUGAAAGAGCACUCAGGGCCAUUCAUGUCCUUAUUACCCUGCAGUCCCCCCUCAUAGCCCUUCUGGAACAAAGCAGUUUAAAUAAAAUGUCAGGCAAAGCUUUUCUUUUCUUCUGUCCACUUCUGUAGCUUCCCCAGGCUACUUUGAAGUCUGGUCUUAUUCUCCAGGACUGACACAAGUCGACUUGGACAUUUGAUAUACAUUUUUUGUUUGUUUCAUCUCAUCUAAAUCCCUAGAAAUGGCCCAGAUAAUGUCUAACCUUUCUUAACCUUAUGUGUAGAAAAUUGAUGUUAUGGACUGU